UGCCAGCCGCCGCGGUAAUACGGGGGGGGCUAGUGUUAUUCGGAAUAAUUGGGCGUAAAGGGUAUGUAGGCGGUUUUUUAAGUUGAAAGUGAAAUACCAAAACUCAAUUUUGGAACUAUUUUCAAAACUGAAAAACUAAGAGUUCGAUAGAGGAUUAUGGAAUUUCUAGUGUAGAAAUAAAAUUCGUAAAUAUUAGAAGGACCUCCAUAAGCGAAGGCGAUAAUCUGGAUCGAAACUGACGCUGAGGUACGAAAGCAUGGGGAGCAAAUGGGAUUAGAUA
rnacentral:rRNA from 1 species